rnacentral:rRNA from 2 species
CAUGACCUCAGAUCAGGUGGGGCAACCCGCUGAGUUUAAGCAUAUCAAUAAGCGGAGGA